GGGGAUGAUCGGUUUCGACAUCGUCUUCGAAUCCACGAGAAGCGGGCCGAGGAUGCAGGGUUAUCUCGCAAACGAUCUCUGCAAAAACAUAAUUGCCGAUGCAAAUCGCAAUGACUUCGCCCUCGCUGCGUAAGCGAGCCUGAAGUCCGUCAGACCGUAGGUGUUCCCGCUACGGACCCUGGCGUCAUCUAGGGGACUUGCUGUGUGAUGGCGUCUGGACGUCACACGGGACUCUUCCCAGGCUGGGCUCGUCGACUUAGGUGUCUGUGACAAAUGUCGGAGCCGAGCAGAACGUCAGCACAGACUGCGCCCGGAGAAUGCGUGGAGACCCAGCGAUGGACGGGGGUUCGAUUCCCCCCAUCUCCACAA
rfam:Beta vulgaris subsp. vulgaris contig158745.1, whole genome shotgun sequence.